UCCCCUCCCCCCCCAUGGUGGUUCAGGACACUGGCGGAACUAGAGAGGCAUGAGUUAAUAUCUCAUGCUCCCACAAAACUAGUCAGCAAUGUAGCAAGCAAAGAGCAAAGAAGAUACUGACCCGGGACAAUUUGAGUUAACUUUAUCCCCAGGUGGCUUGAUCCCAUUUGUGGAACUUUGGUCCCCAACCAGAUGCUGUUGAUUGUGCUGGAGGUUUCCUGGAAGAAGUGAGGUGCUUUGCUUCAAAGGGGUGCUCUGAAGCAAGGGAAAGUUUGGCUGCUGGAGAAGGCCUGCCCACCUGGAGUUGUGCUUCUGGGAGUUGUGGUGAAGCAUGAGAAUGUUUGGCUGCUGGAGGACACCUACCCACAAGUUCACAUGGUGAUUUUCCAAGCUGGAGUCUACUGGUUCCCCUGCCUGGCUAUGCUAAGUCACUCAGAGUCGUUGAAGUCCAGUGGCAAACAAAAGUCAGGAUGACUGGAGAUGGCCUAGGAUGCAGUGGAUAACAAGGAUCUUCAGUGUCUAGCCAAGCUCUAAAUGCUCCACAGCACCUACUUAAACCACCUUCAUGGUUGUUGGAACAAAUUGUUCUCAUCCACCCAUUCCACCAGAGGGAUUCUUCACAUGCUUGGGGCAGACACCCCCCUAACUCAUGGACAGGUUUGAGACCUAGGCUGCCUUCAACCUAGUUUAGUUCAUCUGUCAAGAUGGUUUACUGGGGUGUGGCCCCUGUGCAUGCUACAGCUUCUUGGAACCACAGGUGAGAGUUGACUGCCCAGUGGACACCAAAGGUAGAUGAACAGCCCUGAAAAGGACUUGGCAAACCCCCACACCAGAAGUGCUAAUCCUCCUUUAACUCCCCAUACACUCAUCAUAUUACUGGAUUGGGGAAAGGAACUCCUCCCAGGAGCAGGUUACCUCCAAGUAAGAAAAUCCGAGCAUGUACAGAGAAAGUCCCCUUAUAUACUUUCCCCUCUUUGAAAUUUACUAUCCCUAGGGGCAACUAGGUGGUGCAGUGGAUAGAGCACUGGCUCUGGAUUCAGGAGGACCUGAGUUCAAAUCUGGCC